UACGGAGGAUGCAAGCGUUAUCCGGAAUGAUUGGGCGUAAAGCGUCCGCAGGUGGCUAUGUAAGUCUGCUGUUAAAGAGUGAGGCUCAACCUCAUAAGAGCAGUGGAAACUACAUGGCUAGAGUGCGUUCGGGGCAGAGGGAAUUCCUGGUGUAGCGGUGAAAUGCGUAGAUAUCUGGAGGAACACCGGUGGCGAAGGCGGCAUCCUGGACCGGCAUUGACGCUGAGGCGCGAAAGCCAGGGGAGCAAACGGG
rnacentral:rRNA from 1 species